CCUACGGGAGGCAGCAGUGAGGAAUAUUGGUCAAUGGACGCAAGUCUGAACCAGCCAUGCCGCGUGCAGGAUGACGGCUCUAUGAGUUGUAAACUGCUUUUGUACGAGGGUAAACCCCGAUACGUGUAUCGUGUUGAAAGUAUCGUACGAAUAAGGAUCGGCUAACUCCGUGCCAGCAGCCGCGGUAAUACGGAGGAUCCGAGCGUUAUCCGGAUUUAUUGGGUUUAAGGGGUGCGUAGGCGGUUUGAUAAGUUAGAGGUGAAAUGUCGGGGCUCAACCCCGAAACUGCCUCUAAUACUGUUGGACUAGAGAAUAGUUGCGGUAGGCGGAAUGUAUGGUGUAGCGGUGAAAUGCUUAGAGAUCAUACAGAACACCGAUUGCGAAGGCAGCUUACCAAACUAUAUCUGACGUUGAGGCACGAAAGCGUGGGUAGCAAACAGGAUUAGAUACCCUGGUAGUC
rnacentral:rRNA from 1 species